rnacentral:rRNA from 1 species
AUUAAACGCUGGCGGCAUGCCUUACACAUGCAAGUCGAACGGCAGCACGGGGGCAACCCUGGUGGCGAGUGGCGGACGGGUGAGUAAAGCAUCGGAACGUAUCCUGGAGUGGGGGAUAACGUAGCGAAAGUUACGCUAAUACCGCAUAUUCUGUGAGCAGGAAAGCAGGGGAUCGCAAGACCUUGCGCUCUGGGAGCGGCCGAUGUCGGAUUAGCUAGUUGGUGGGGUAAAGGCCUACCAAGGCGACGAUCCGUAGCGGGUCUGAGAGGAUGAUCCGCCACACUGGGACUGAGAUACGGCCCAUACUCCUACGGGAGGCAGCAGUGGGGAAUAUUGCACAAUGGGCGCAAGCCUGAUGCAGCGACGCCGCGUGAAGGAUGAAGGCUUUCGAGUCGUAACUUACUGUUAAGUGGAAGAAUAGCACAUGGUUAAUACCCAUGUGAGCUGACGGUACCACUAGAGAAAGC